rnacentral:rRNA from 1 species
AUGCAAGUCGUGCGAGAAAGUACCUUCGGGUGCGAGUAGAGCGGCGGACGGGUGAGUAACGCGUAGGAAUCUACCUAGUAGAAGGGGAUAGCCCGAGGAAACUCGGAUUAAUACCGUAUACCUCCUUAGGGAGAAAGAGGGCUUAGCUUUGAUGCUCUCGCUAUUAGAUGAGCCUGCGUAAGAUUAGCUUGUUGGUGAGGUAAUGGCUCACCAAGGCGACGAUCUUUAGCUGGUCUGAGAGGACGAUCAGCCACAUUGGGACUGAGACACGGCCCAGACUCCUACGGGAGGCAGCAGUGGGGAAUAUUGGACAAUGGGCGCAAGCCUGAUCCAGCCAUACCGCGUGUGUGAAGAAGGCUUCCGGGUUGUAAAGCACUUUAAGUAAGGAGAAAAAGAUUGUAGUUAAUACCUGCAAUCCUUGAUGUUACUUGCAGAAUAAGGACCGGCUAAUUCCGUGCCAGCAGCCGCGGUAAUACGGAAGGUCCAAGCGUUAAUCGGAAUUACUGGGCGUAAAGCGCGCGUAGGUGGUUUUUUAAGUUGGAUGUGAAAGCCCUGGGCUCAACCUAGGAACUGCAUCCAAAACUAGAUGACUAGAGUACGAAAGAGGGAAGUAGAAUUCACAGUGUAGCGGUGGAAUGCGUAGAUAUUGUGAAGAAUACCAAUGGCGAAGGCAGCUUCCUGGUUCUGUACUGACACUAAGGUGCGAAAGCGUGGGUAGCGAACAGGAUUAGAUACCCUGGUAGUCCACGCCGUAAACGAUGACAACUAGCUGUUGGGAGACAAGAUCUCUCAGUGGCGCAGCUAACGCUUUAAGUUGUCCGCCUGGGGAGUACGGCCGCAAGGCUAAAACUCAAAUGAAUUGACGGGGACCCGCACAAGCGGUGGAGCAUGUGGUUUAAUUCGAUGCAACGCGAAAAACCUUACCUACUCUUGACAUACUUGGAAGCUCUUGUAAUGAGAGUGUGCUUUUAGAGCCAA